rnacentral:rRNA from 1 species
CCGCUAUUGGAGUUCGAUUAAGCCAUGCGAGUCGAGAGUCUUAGGGACUCGGCGUACCGCUCAGUAACACGUGGGUAACCUGCCCUAUGCUGGGGAAUAACCUCGGGAAACUGAGAAUAAUGCCCCAUAGUCCACAAUGCCUGGAACGGUUUGUGGAUCAAAGCUCCGGCGGCAUAGGAUGGGCCUGCGGCGUAUCAGGUUGUAGGGGGUGUAACGUACCCUCUAGCCAUCAACGCGUACGGGUGUUGGGAGACAUAGCCCGGAGAUGGAUUCUGAGACACGAAUCCAGACCCUACGGGGUGCAGCAGGCGCGAAAACUUGGCAAUGCGAGAAAUCGUGACCAGGGAACUCCAAGUGGCUGGGGUAAGACCCAGUCUUUUCUUGACUCUUCAAAGGUCUUGGAAUAAGGGGUGGGUAAGGACGGUGCCAGCCGCCGCGGUAAUACCGGCGCCUCAAGUGGUAGUCGAUUUUAUUGGGCCUAAAACGUCCGUAGCCUGUUUGGUACAUUCGUGGGUAAAUCAACCAGCUCAACUGGUUGAAUUCUGCGAGCACGGCCAGACUUGGGACCGGGAGAGGUGUGGGGUACGCUCAGGGUAGGGGUAAAAUCCUGUCAUCCUGAGCGGACCACCUGUUGCGAAGGCGCCACACUAGAACGGAUCCGACGGUCAGGGACGAAGCCUAGGGGCACGAACCGGAUUAGAUACCCGGGUAGUCCUAGGUGUAAACGCUGUGGACUUGGUGUUGGGGACUCUCCGAGAUUCCUCAGUGCCGAAGCGAAGGUGAUAAGUCCACUGCCUGGGGAGUACGGUCGCAAGGCUGAAACUUAAAGGAAUUGGCGGGGGGGCACCGCAACCUGAGGAUUGUGCGG